CCUAGGAUGUCAUAAUACCAGGGAACACCUACUUGCGAACGCAGAGAAGCAUGCUUGGACAAGAGGCAUAUAUAUACGUUUAUAUCAUAAUUGAAGUAAGGACCGGUGUCGCAUUGCUCAUCAAACUGAGAGUUGAAAACGAUAUAUUGCUAGGAGAGAUAAUUGUUCAUUCAUUUAUUUUGCAGUAAAGGGGAGCCUUCAUUGUAUAUAUUAGAGCCUCGAACUCUUGGGCCAGAGUCGUUUACUACUACUACUACUACUACUACUACUACUACUACUACUACUA
rnacentral:lncRNA from 1 species